GUUCUUAUUUAAUACACUUGGAGCCUAUUCUGCGUCAUACUUCUAGAUCUAUAUUGAACCUAGGACCAGUACAAAAGACCUACAAGACCUGAGAACUCAAAAAAGGUUCUUUCACUUGAUUUCUAGAAGAAAUAAUCAUGAAAAUCAAGAUAUACUUCCUCAAUCACAGAGUUCACUGAUUGGUAACUUUCAAAAGGCAUUUGGCUCAUCUCACCCACAUCUAUCAUCACUGGCCUCGUAGACGGCUCGUGUGGACAAUCCCCUUCCCCCACGAAGAUAAAUUGGACGCUGGAGAGUGAUAAAAGAGCGCUGCUAGUGUACGGGAGCAGUCGGUAAUGGGAAGAAGAGAAUGAAGAAACUUUUAAAGAGGCUUUCAUGGACUCAGCCUGGAAGGCGGAAUUUGCCCGAGCUCACGAUCUUAAUGAAUGAAGGAUAGAAUCGGAGAUUUCUUUCUUGUCCCUCCACUCCCCUCCCCCUGUCUACUCAGCCUCCCUUUGCUGGUAUUUCAAAGUAAAGCAAGCCUCGAGUCCGAGAGCGGGGGAAGGGCGGCAGAGUAGAUUGAGCAUCUUAGUCUACCCCCCAAAGGCUCUAGGACUAGUCCCCCCCAGCUUCCCUUCCCCGGGAGAAGUAAGGCCUGGGGGAAUUGAGACUUGCUUCAUCCCACCAAAGGGCAGCAAUGAGAUCGGUACUUUCCAUUUUCUUGCACAGAGAUGGGGCAGGGACGGUGACCAGUUAUCAAAUAAUGCAAAAUAUGAAUGACACACAGCCGGGCUGGAAACUGCCCCCGGCUUCUGUCCUUGCUCACCCAAUUACAUAUCUUCUUCCUUUAAAAUGCGCCUCCCUCCUUCCUUCUCUUUCCAACCCGCUCCCCCCCCACACACACACACAUAAACCACGGCUGUUUGAUCUGUAGGUUAGGUGAAGUUUGAGUUAUUUCUCAAUGGCUUUUAAAAAUAAGAGAUGUUUAUUUAUCCGAAAUGACUCAAAUCCCCAGUCGGGAACUCCAAGCUGACUAAAAUCAAUAGUUUAAAUGAGUUUACUGUAUUCCUAGUAAUACUUUAUUCAAACCGAGGAUCAUCUAUGGCGCAGAACACUUUCAAGUUUGCAAGUUGGGUUUACCCAGGGAGCUUUUUAGCUUUUUUUUAUUUCUACAAAAUUAAUGGCUUCCAAUUAACAACCACACAUCCCUCUACUCCUGCCCCCCACAGAGUAUACGGGAUACCGAUUCUUUCCCUAUUGAUUAGGUCUGAGGGUUCCUCCUUCCUUUCCCCAGCCCCCUCUUCGCUUCUCGCCAACUUUGCUU